ensembl:lncRNA
GUGAAAUGUGUUUAUCCUGGGAUGAAUCACGGGAGAGGGUGAGGAAGGGUCUGCAGAGUCAGGGCCUGGGACUGGAUAGAGGCCAAGCUGUAGAGGACCUUCCUCAAGGGCCUUCACGAGCUACUACACAGCUGUUUGUUCUUUCGUUCAUUCAAAUAUCUCUUGAGCACCUGUUAUGGCUGAGCACUGUCUCAGAUGCUGGGGAAACAACAGUGAACAUGACAAAGCCUUGUGGUGGCACAGACAAUAAACCAGCAAGCAAAUUAAUGACUUACUACUGUGACCCAAACAAUGAAGGUGACCAGUGUUGCUGUGGUUCGGGCGUCAAGUAGGCAGCCUUCUUCCAAGGGGCAGCCAGGGCAGGUCUCCCAGAGGCAUGGAGGUUGCAGGCUGAGAACUGGAGGGGGAGGAAAGAACCAGCUGUUUGAAGAUGGAGAGGAAGAGUGGUCCAGGAGUGUGCUAAGGUUCAGAGCUGCUGAGGCCAGAGUUCCCUGCCAGUGGGUAGCUGAUCCAGAUCCCAGGCUCUCUCGUCAGUGAAGGCAUCUCUGCCAGCAGAUCUCCGUGUCUUCAAGGUUGAAUAAGAGAGGCAGAAGGAGACCUGACCCAGAGGUGACAAUGUGACCAGGGAGGCGAGCUCGGAAGGACGCAGCACAAGCCAAGGAGUGCAGGCAGCCCCCGAAGCUGGAAGAGGCAAGGAUCAGACUCCGUCCUAGAACCUCCAGCAGAAGUGUCGCCUUGCUGACGUCCUGGUUUCAGAUGUCUGGCCUCCAGACCUGUGAGAGAAUGGACGUCUGCUGCUUUAUGCCGCUGAGUUUGUGGCAUUUUCUUACAGCAGCAACAGGAAGCGGAUACAAGCCGCCUGAUCUCAGUUCUGCCCCUAAUUUAGUCGUCGUCAUCAUCCAACGAUUGUAACAGCCCCAGCACCAGAGGGCCUUCUGCCUGCCCCACAGCCUUACCCUCCACACACAGACUGAUGGGUAAUUCCUUCCUGAAUUCCCGCAGCACAGAGUCCACAUUUGUUAGCCUGAAGCACAGCGCUUUUCCUGACAUGGCCCCUGAGUACUUCUCCUCCCUUAUUUCUCACCACUUGGCCCCAUCGCUUUUGCUCCAGCUGUCUCAACCUCCCUGCAGUUUUCAACUGUUACAUGUUCUCUCAAACUUCUGAGGCUUUGCACAUGCUGUCCCCUUUGCCUGGAACACUCUUCCUCACCCCAGAUAUCUGCAUGGCUUGUUUUCUCAUUGACUUCGGGUCUUUGCCCCCAAAGAACUUCCUUGAUGAUAGAUUUCAAAGCACAACCCCCUCUUCACCUUCGCAUUUCCGAUUCCCUUGCCCUACCCCGUUUUCCCCCCAUGGUACUUAUCACUGCCUAUGUAUUUAACGUAUUUGUUCAUUGUCUGUUGCCCCUGAUUAGAAUUAAAUUUCACAGGAGCAGGGAAUUUAAACUGGGUGGCUUAAACAAUAAACAUUUACUUCUCACAGUUCUGGAGGCGCCGGCAUGCAGAGUCAAUGCCUGCUGAGAACUUUGAGCUCUUCAUCCCCUUAUAAGGGCACCAAUCCCAUCCUAGGGGCUCCACCCCAUGACCUCAUUCAAAGCUAGUCACCUCCCAAAGGUCCCACUUCCAAACACCAUCACACUGGUUUCAACAUAUGCAUCUGGGGGGAUACAAGCAUUCAGUCCACAGCAAGAGGAUUUGGGGGUGAUUUGGAAGGUCUCCUGGGAUUUUCAGCCCCUUGUAAUCCUUGAGAGCAAAGAUUCCUCUCCUUUCUGAGCCAUGGAUCUCUUCACUGAGCAAAUCUUUUGAAUGCAUAAGAUGCAUUAUAUUACAAAGGAUUCUAAUUAUUUUGAACUGCAGUUAUCAAAAUAUUAAAAGAAGACAUUUUGAUAUAGUAAUAAAUGUGUUUCUUUAUUAAUGAAUUGAAUACCAAGAGCUAGGGACGGAUCUAAUUAGUACCAUAAUUUUGAAGUGGUGAUGAGCAUAAGUGAUCUUCCAAGACAGCAGCAGCAACAGCAAUGUGAUAUGAAAAUAUCUGUGAUUUCUCUUAGUGACAAACACUCACAGGCACUGCAAACACUGUGGUUUGCCAUUGGUCUUCACAAGGGAAGGAAAUGGUGAAUUUCAGUAAGAGGUGAGUAAAGAGAAAGACAAUUUCUUUUUUUAACAUCCAAACCAGCCCUCUCCAUUAAGAUCCCCUGUCAUUAAUGGAGUUAGAGGUGAGCUGGGAAGAGCUUGGACCCCAUGAUUUUUCAGUGUGGAGAGAUGCUUCUGACAAGUGUACCCGUCUGGCUAAAAUGGGGGCUCCCAGGGGCAGCCUCUUCAACAAGC